UUAACUACAGUCCGUCGUCACUUUCUACACAAAAUCCCCAAACCACAAAAACCCCACCGCCGACGACGCCAUUUCUCUCCACUUCUCCACUCUGUCCGCCUCUUCUUCUCCAAUUUCUGCCUAAAUUCCUUGACUUCUCCACCCCAUUCGCCUUGUUUUCUUCAUUUGACGGCUGAAAUCUGGACUUCUCCAUCCGUUCGCCUCUUCUUCUCCUUAUAUUUCUUCUUGCUUUCACAGUGAACUCAAGAGAGCUUUGAAGAAAAAUACUCAAUUGGAUGAGGCGAGUGGCUCAGGAACCGCUGUUAUGAGAAGUCCAAAAAAAUCUCAAUCAUCUGUCUAGCAGCAUGUAUUCUGCUUUUGAAGAUGCUUCUACCAGUGGAACUGUUGUGUAUCGUGGUCAACAUGAUGAGCCUGAUUAUAUUCGCACCCCAAAAUCCAGACUAGGAAUUCAAGAGAGAAUUUCAAGUGUCCCACUUGAAGACAGUUCACAAAACCUAGGCGGAGGCAAAAGCUGCGAUUCAGAGUGGGUUUAGGAAAGGGAAUCCUAGGGAAAGAUUAGGGCUGGGCAAGAUCAAUAAUGAUGGGGAGCAAUAUCGAAGAAGAGAGCAAAUAGCAAGCAGCUCUGAUUCUUCCAGAGAUUCCCGGGACUACUUUGAUGCACAAAGAGCAUUUUCUAGAUCACACCAAGCAAGUGAUGAUUAAGAUAGUGCAAGAAUAACAUCAUCAUCAUCUGCGCCAUUGUCAGUUUUGCUUAUCCCUUCCUUAAAAGAGGCAGUCUUAUCUACGUUUAAUCUUUUAUAGUUCCUGGGGAAAGAAGUAUACACAGAUGCGGGGGUCAAUGAAGUUAGAGGAGAAUGGGCAAUGUAUGUAUCAAAUUUUUUUCAGUUAUUGAUGUUUCAUUGAUAUCAAAGCGUCAAUGACGGAAAAAGUAUGUAUCAAACUUUUGUUGAA